rnacentral:rRNA from 1 species
GACGAACGCUGGCGGCGUGCCUAAUACAUGCAAGUCGAGCGGACUGAUUAAGAGCUUGCUCUUAUGACGUUAGCGGCGGACGGGUGAGUAACACGUGGGCAACCUGCCCUGUAGAUCGGGAUAACACCGAGAAAUCGGUGCUAAUACCGGGUAAUAUCUGAGAUCACAUGAUCUUAGGUUAAAAGAUGGCUCCGGCUAUCACUACAGGAUGGGCCCGCGGCGCAUUAGCUAGUUGGUAAGGUAAUGGCUUACCAAGGCGACGAUGCGUAGCCGACCUGAGAGGGUGAUCGGCCACACUGGGACUGAGACACGGCCCAGACUCCUACGGGAGGCAGCAGUAGGGAAUCUUCCGCAAUGGACGAAAGUCUGACGGAGCAACGCCGCGUGAGUGAUGAAGGGUUUCGGCUCGUAAAGCUCUGUUGUUAGGGAAGAAACAGUACCGAACGAACUAGGUCGGUACCUUGACGGUACCUAACCAGAAAGCCACGGCUAACUACGUGC